GCCGGCGUCCGCCGGCCGUGCCGCCGGGAUGAGCAGCUCCGAGCGCACGGUGUCCUCGCUGACGGGCUCCGUGGACACUGCGGGCAGAGUUAGUUAGAAAAUUCCUGGGUGUCAGGAGAAAAUCCUGGAGUUGGCCAUGUGUGAGCUGCAGGGCCUGGGAACAGAAGGCUUUCAGCAGAGGCAGAAGAAAACCAGUGCCUUGAAGUGUUCAGCUUUCGAGGGGAUGGGACACGUCCCUGUGAGGGGAUCCGUGGCUGAAGCCCCCAGAUCAGUGGCAUGUUCAGUCAGGCUGGACAGGGGAGCCACGAGGGAUGGAGACCCCCAUCAGUGCUGGGAUGGACACAGCACGCCUGGCAGCAGGGGGGCUCUGGCUGUGCCCAUGGCACAGCAGGGACAGCUGCAGGGAUUCACCACUCUUAAGGCCCAAAACCUGCUUUGCUUGAAAGGAAGAGCCCGUCCUUGCCACCCCUCCUCCAUGGCCCAUGGGGAGAGCCUUACAGUAUGUGGCAGCUAAGUCACAUCUUAAAAAAAUCUUUAAUGAAAAGUGAAGUGUUAUUAUUUACAGGUUUAUGAACUACUGGAGGUUCUCUCCAUGUACAUCUGCAGGCACAGAAGGUGCACAAUGCCCAGUGUCCUGGGAUGAAGGAGCAAAACCAUAUCCAGGGUUCUCUGUUAGAAAUUCCUUAUUUUAAAUAAAUGAAUUGCUGAAAAGAAAAACCAAUAAAGAAGAAUUGCAGUUGUUUUCCUUUUCCCACAUGAGAAUUCCUGCCAGUCUCACCUGUCUUCUACAGGGCUGGAAAAUGGCCUUUCAAAGAGUGGUGUUAGUACCAUGGGCCAAUGCUGUGGCUGUUUUCAGGCUGAUAUUUACUUGCUGAUUGAGAGGCCAUUUGUCUAAAUAUAUCCCAACCCCAGGUGUACUCAGAAGGUUCAGUAUUAACCUGAGAGUCCAGUGGUGAAUCACUUACUGAAGUUGGAUGAAUUAGGGUAGAAAGAAAGGGGGAGGGAGAAGUAAGGGAAAUAAAUCCCCCGUGUUAGCCACAGUCAUUAUGCUUAUGUUCCCUGGACUGGGAUUUUGCUGCUUUUUAAUUCAGCCCAGUUUGUGCCUGCUUGUAAAUGUAAUGGUCACUAUUGUGACAGCAGAUGUCCACUCAGUUCAGCUGCUCUUUAACAUCAUGUGGCAUCCUGGCUGAAGCCAAAAUGCAGAACAAGCUGUCUAAAACUCAAGCUGUCAAAAUAAAUCUCCACAGACACAGUGUCUAUUGGAAGUGGAGUUUAAGAGACUGCACUGAUUGCCAAAGCAAAUGCCAAGAGAUCACCCACUGUGUGCUGCCAGCUAUGGCUGGGGAGUCAAACUCCAUCUUGAAAUGACAUUUCUUCAUGUAAGAAAUCAGGUCUGGGCUGAUGCUUUUCAAUUAGUCCCUCUGCCACGGCUUUCAGUGUUAGAAAUCACUGCUGGGCAGGACAUUAGCACUGAAGGCUACAGUUGGGUGUUUCAGACAGUGCAUGCAUCAAAAAGUGCUUAAAAAAUGACUUGACGUAAUACGGUUUAGUGGGCAUGGCAAUAUCCUGCCCAAGAUUGUUAAGAGGGAGUGCAAUAGCAGAUGUUUGCUUUGGUUCUUCAGCACAUCUUGAGAAUUUACUUUAAUCAAGAAAGAAAUGGUUUCCUCCUCACCCAGAGGUAAGGAUGAAACUAGGUGCCUAACAGCCCUUCCAUGACAAACAGAAAAUCCAGUGAGGUACAUCUUUACAUGUCUAAUACCUCUGAAAAACUGACCCAGAGCACUGAAGUCACCUCAGCUUCCUUAAUGGUUUGAAAUUUCCCUCAUAAUUUAGGGAAAUUAUGGGUUUCUCCUCUGACCAAUGCCAGACAAGACCGAGCUUGUGAAGUUUGUCCCUAUUGCCCAUUGUGUCUGAACCACCAGUGCAGUAGGGAAAGGCUUGUCUUGAACAGCAGCAGCUGAGAUGAUGAACUGCAAUGCUUCAGCUAUGAGACAGUGAGAGAGGGCCCAGGAAUGAGAGAAGUCACGUUUAUUCUAUUGGGGAUCACUAUUUAUUCAAAGUACAAAAAAUAUCCAGUAGAGUCUGUAAAAUUGAACACAUCCGCAGUGAAUGUCCCAGGAUGAUCCCUCCAUGGAGCACAAAGAGGGCCAGUGCUGGCCCAGCUGAAAAGUGAAUACUUCUGGUUCCCUGCCAGCUCCUGACUUCCAGGAAAGUCCUUGGGCAGUAGGUGCACUCUGUUCAACACAGGAAAACUUCAGGAUAGCCUUGAUUCUCUGGGAGCUUACCCAUCCAGGACCAUGGUUCUGCACAGCCCAGUGCUCCUGCUGCAUAUGUGGGCAGGACCCAGGCUUACAUACAGCAGUCCUUGCAACUCAGCACAAAAACUGCUACAUUUUUUUCCUGACUCUAAUAUAAUCAGGCUGGGACAAAACAUAAUAAUUUUUAUUAAACUUUAUAAAUAGGGAAUAUAUCUAUUACAUACCAUCUGUCAUCAGUUAGUUUUUUGCAUUAAAAUAUAUAAUUUUACAAAACUUUACUUGUAAACCUAAAAAUCUGCACAGUCCAGUGAUAGAAGCAGCAUUAAUUAUUUUAUAUUAUUUUAUACAGGGAUUGACAAAUUCUCCCAAUACAAGAGAAGUUCCUUAUCAUUAAUGCAAGGAAUAUAGGGAGUCCUAUCAGAAACUCUUGUGAUGUGUCCCUGUUGCUGGUAUUUAUAUUGAGAUCAAAUUACUUGCUUUUUCCAUCAGGCCAAGUAAUCUGACAUAAGUGGAACCCUUCUGUACAAGGAGGUCUUGCAAAAUCCAUACAGGGCUCCAUUCCAGCCAUUGAAUUUUCUUAAGCCACACUGUACAUACAGAUCCAGAAUGUGAGUGGAGUAAAAGUUCCAAUAAAUUUACAAACACAUUUCAGGACAAUUCAGCAAGCUUUUUCCGUUAGCAUUUCAACUUGGCUGGAUCUUUCCUAUUCACUGUUUGGCAGAACAUAUAUAAUUUUCCUCAUGAAUAAUAUUUAUUACAAAGAGAAAAAUGUUAUAUACAGUAUUACUACAUGAGGGACUUGAGUGGAAAAUUACACAUCUGGGAAUUAGUUUGUGAUAAGCACUCAGAUUGAAAUUCCAGUGAAGCUGCGGAACUUAAAUGACUGAUCAGUUCACCCUUACUAUGAAAGUACAUUUAGAUUAAUAUUAGACAGGUUUUUUUUCAGGGUCCUUGAAUUUGUAAAAUGUUUGAAAGCCAAAAAGACUGCACUGAGCCUCUGCUACCACUGAGACCAUAGUCAGGAAUGGCUGACGUUGCAUGGCCAGUGGUCUGACACCACAUCACUUUCUCCUGCUCUGCACAGAGCAACUUUUUUCCAUGACCAGCUCACAAGUACCUGGCUGAUCAUGUGGGCCUCCACCAUCAGUUUUGCCAGGAGCACAGGCAGCAGGGACAGAGCUGGUUUGGGAGAUUUUUGCAAAACUGUCUAAUGUAGGUUUUCCAGUAUGAUUGCAAAGCAUUACACCACCACACACAAUGUGCAAAGUAGGGUAUUGUAUGAUUGUAAUCUAGCACAGCUGGUAUAAAACAUUCUACUAAUUACAAUACAGAUACAAAAUGCCAGCUAGGAUUGAUACUGAAAGACCUUUGCUAUUGUUCCAUAUGUUUAGAACAGAGUUUAGGGCCAAAAUGCAAUCAGCAAAUGCUGUCUAUUAUGCAUUCUUUGGAGUGGAUUGGGUUUUGUUUCUUCAUUUCUAUCUCCUUUGCACAUUCCUCUGAAUUCAGAGCAUAGAGUUGCUGUACAUCUCUGUUUAGUGAUCUAUUAAGCAUCAAGGUGCAUGUUUCAUACAAACAUGGAGGAUGUAAAAGGUGAGACUCUCAAUCUUCACCUUCAUAAGUGUUUUUAUUAAAAUUACUAGCUACUCCCCUGGCUUGUCAACCAAAAGAACAUCAAAAGAGCUGAGAAUAAAAUAUGUAGCAUAUUGCUGAGCAGGACCUAAACAGUACCAAGUGGAGCACACUGAGAAAUGUUUCUUAAUGUCCUUACACUUAGUGUGCACACUUCAUCUGACAGGGAAAAAAAAAAUACCUAAAAAAAAGUGGUCCAGGAGAACGAGGCCAUUGUCAGAGAAGCAUUUGACUGGGUGCAAAGCAGCCAACCCCAAGUGGUGUGAGCAACAUGUUUCUGUAAAGCUUGGGCACCAUCUACCCUCUUGCAUUUUCUUCCAGAAGAUGUCAGAGACAGAAGCAUGGACGGGGUGGCCUGCAGUGCUGGAGCAGAGUUGCAGAUACAGCCACACCCUUCCCACUGGGCGAGCUGACAGCCAGCCUAGCUACUGUCAGCAGAAGUACUCAUUGGGCUGUCCCUCUAUCUUUGGUAUGGCUUCCGAGUCCACGCUGGAGCGGGCAGACAGCAGCCUGUUGGACUCGUCAGGGGUGUGCCUGGUCAGGUAUUCUCCUUCCACGCCCUUGGCCUUGGCCCCGGGGGACAGGCUUUCGAAGGUGACGUACGAUUCCUGCACGUCCUUGGGCUUUCGCACAAAGCAUUUUUUGCAGCGCCGUUUCAGCGCCCCGCAGCAGACCACCAGGGUCAGAGGGACAGCAAUGACACAGGCCACGCUGAUGACAACCACAUUGAUGAGCUUCUGCGUCCCUCCUGCGCUGACAACUUCGUCUGUGGAAAAUAUGAUGCACUGCUCCUUCCUGGGGAUCAGCCCUUUCACACAGACGCACACGAUGUAUUUGGUCUUUGGCAGCAGCCCAUAAAGAGUGACCUUGGUCUUCCCUGGCUCCACGUUGAUCCGCCGCAUGUCCCUCUCCCCAAAGACAGCAUACAGGACGCUGAACACCGUGGUGUUCUUUGCCAUAGGCGCCUUCCAGGCCAGGGUGAUGCUCUGGUCGGUGUCCCCUAUGACCCUGACAGACCUCACCAUCCUCUCUGGCUCCUGCUGGCCCGUGGUGGGGCUCACCAGCAGGUUCUGGGGGUUGCUGUCUUGUGCCGCGUCCGGGAGGAGGACGCUGUCCCCAGUGCCCGCCCCGGCCCCCAGCGUGGGCACGGUGGAGGUGGUGAUAACGUACCUGGCCACCAGUUUGUCAUUGUAGGCAGCUGCCUCCAUCCCGCUGGCCUUGCCAUUCCAUGUGCCUUUGGCACUAGAGCUGGGGUCAUCCGUGCUCUCUGAGUCUGUGAUGAUGAGCGAGAUGAAGGCCUCUGUUGCCCCCAGGAAAUUCUUUGCUUUACAGAUGUACUCUCCGGAGUCAAGGUAAGAGACUACAGGCAGGCCCAGGAUAGACCAGCUCAUCCCAUCACUGGAAAUCUCUUGGUGAACUGCAAGGCAGGAAAAAUGUUAAAUAGGCAAUAAUAAAAUGAAUUAAUUCCAUGUUUGUAAAAUACUAAGACUCCAUCACCAAAUAUCUGAUCAAUAAAGUAUAUGACAAAGAAUCAUCA